GCCAACACUGGGAGUCUAUUUAGAGAAAAAUCUGAAAAGAUUCAGAUACUGGCUUUCUUUCCCCAGUGACCAAGAGAGUCUGACAGCACCAUUCUGGCUGAGGGUAGAACCAAGACAAACGGCAACAUUGCCAUGGUCAGAGAGUCAGGGCUCAGCAAGAUGACCAGAUCCAGGGUUGAGGAAUCUCCAAGGAAGCUUGUUAUCAAUGUGAAACCAAACUCAUGAGCACCCAGCUGCACAUAUCCAGGUUCUUUCUGCCUUGAAAAAUAUGACUGUACUCAGGUGAUUCUGGGUCCAUCCACGUGGUCAGGUCUUCUUCCCCAGCUGUCCCCAUUCUUAGGAAAGGAGCCCUGGGACUGAGCACCAGGAGGAGAGAAAGACAAAGCAACCCAUUAAGGUCCCCCCUGUUCCUACCUGAAGGGUAGGCCCAGCGUAGGCCUUGUAGCAGUGAAAUCAGAAAUACUGUCUGAGGGCUGGGGUAUAGCUCAGUUGGCAGAGUGCUUGCUUCACAUGCACAAGGCCCUGGGUUCGAUCCCCAGCACCACAAACAAAAAAAAAAAAAAAGAAAAAAGAAAGAAAUGUUGUCUGAUGCCAUGGACUGCAUGUGGACUGCAUGUGGGCUGAGGGGAUGUGGCCUGCCUGCCUGCCUGCCUUCCUGGGAGCUAGGAAGAAUGACAUGGAGCCUUGGUCUAGAGUGGGAGGCUGACGAGAACCCAGCAGUGGCAACCCUGAGGCAGGCGCUGUGUUGCCAGGUCCUGGGGAGCCUGCAGAAGGACUGCCUGGGAUUCCCUACUUUGCUCAUUUGACCACCUCAGUGACCCAAUUCAGCAGAUGCCCCUUGGACGUCUUCACUGUGCACGACUCAGUGCUCAGCUUAAGGACAUCCACGGGUGAAUAUAUGACAGCGUUCCACUCAAGAAGGUCAUGAUCUGGUAGGAAGGAGCCCUGGCCCUGGCAGCCAGAUGGUGUGACGAAAGCAGGAGCUAAGCAGAGAUUGCUUUUGCCUGCUGCAAAUGGAUCAGUUACUUCUGCCAGACACAUUUUCAAACUGAGGUAAUUCUGAGACUGAGCUGCAGGAAGGGAAACUUCAUUCCUUAACUCACUGACUCAUCAGCUGCCUCCAGCGUCCAGGUAGGUAAGGACGGCAUCCUGGCCCUCCCUUCACCCUGUUGGGAUUUGGAGCUUUGUCCGCAGGCAGCUCAUGUAGUCAGGGAAGUUGAGGAGCCAGCCUGACAGGCCUGGCACUGAUCUCAUCUGUAGCGUCCUCAGUCUGGCAUACAAGAGGGCAGGGGCCUGGAAGGUAUUUGAGGGGGCUUCCCAAACAAGUUUAAGUGAGA
rnacentral:lncRNA from 1 species